UACGUAGGGUCCGAGCGUUGUCCGGAAUUAUUGGGCGUAAAGAGCUCGUAGGCGGUUUGUCGCGUCUGCUGUGAAAUCCCGAGGCUCAACCUCGGGCCUGCAGUGGGUACGGGCAGACUGGAGUGCGGUAGGGGGAGAAUGGAAUUCCUGGUGUAGCGGUGGAAUGCGCAGAUAUCAGGAGGAACACCGAUGGCGAAGGCAGUUCUCUGGGCCGUAACUGACGCUGAGGAGCGAAAGCGUGGGGGAGCGAACAGG
rnacentral:rRNA from 1 species